rnacentral:rRNA from 1 species
UACGUAGGGGGCAAGCGUUGUCCGGAAUCAUUGGGCGUAAAGAGCGUGUAGGCGGCCCGAUAAGUCCGCCGUGAAAGCCCAGGGCUCAACCCUGGGAUGCCGGUGGAUACUGUCGGGCUAGAAUCCGGAAGAGGCGAGUGGAAUUCCUGGUGUAGCGGUGAAAUGCGCAGAUAUCAGGAGGAACACCGAUGGCGAAGGCAGCUCGCUGGGACGGUAUUGACGCUGAGGCGCGAAGGCGUGGGGAGCGAACGGG